rnacentral:rRNA from 1 species
UAAUACGUAGGGGGCAAGCGUUGUCCGGAUUUACUGGGCGUAAAGAGCGCGUAGGUGGGAGAGCAAGUCCGGUGUGAAAGCCCCCGGCUCAACCGGGGAAGGUCGCUGGAAACUGCUCUUCUUGAGGUGGACAGAGGGAAGUGGAAUUCCUGGUGUAGCGGUGAAAUGCGUAGAUAUCAGGAGGAACACCCAUGGCGAAGGCAGCUUCCUGGGUCCAAUCUGACGCUGAGGCGCGAAAGCGUGGGGAGCGAACGGGAUUAGAUACCCCGGUAGUCCACGCCGUAAACGAUGGUCACUAGGUGUAUGGGGUAUCGACCCCCCAUGUGCCGCAGCUAACGCAAUAAGUGACCCGCCUGGGGAGUACGGCCGCAAGGUUG